GGAGAGGAGGGCACCUGAUUGGGUGAUAACCCUAGCCGCCAUCCCCAUCCUAGCGCGCCCCCUCCUUCGCAGCCGCCGCCACCCUCCCGUCCGGUUCUCCUCUCACGUCGUCGAGCUCGCCUCCGCCGCUGCUCUCCCCUGUCCUUCUCGCACCACCAACCUCGAUUCCUCCCCUGUACACGGCGAGCUCGACGAGCAAGGCUGACAUUUGGGCACUGUUGUACGAGGGCCAUGCCGAGCAUGCCCCGGAGCACGGCGGCCUCUGCUUCCGCUUCUCGUCCAAUGGGCACCUCUGCACGUGUGACGACCUAGGUGCCGCUGCUGUCACCACCGGCGCAGGUUCAAAGGCGACGGCCGCGCGUCGCCAUCAUCAGGACGAGCGAGAAGGCCAAAGGCGAAGGCCGCGCGUCGCCAUCACCGGGAGGAGCAAUGGCCGCCGAGACGACCGUCCAUGUCGCCGGUGUCAUCAACCUUCAGGUGCUCUUCCUCCCGUCUCAGCUAGGAUUCCUGUCCUUCCUCUCACUCUUUCUCUUCCUCGCAUAUCUCUCUCCGCCGUCGCCGUCGCCAUCCACACGAGGAGCACACGGACGGCUAAUCCGUCCAGGUUUGAGGCGAUACAGGCCAUUGAUGCUCCUUGGUGGUGUCGUGGCCGCGACGGAGGAGGAGGCGCGACACUGUGCGGGAGAUGGGGGAGGCCGUCGCGGUGGUGGGGCUAGACUUUGCGGCCUGCAACGAGGCGGCCGUCGAUGCCGCGGUGGAGGCGGCGUGGUGCUGCUUUGGCCACGACAGGCUCAAUACCCUGGUUAACUGCUGCUCCUAUGAAGGGGAAGUGCAAGACUGCCUCAGUGUAACUGAAGAUGAGUACUCACACACCUUGGCUGCUAAUAAAGGCGAUGGCGAAGUGGUUCUGGGAUACGCAGUCCGGCGGUUCCAUGGUAUGCUUGAUCCAGAUCACCGGCGCCGAGAGAGGAUUCUACCCAAGGGUUGUGGCAUACUGCACGAGCUUAGGCGUUGUUCAUCAGCUCGUCAGAGUAAGCCUACCUUCCUGUUACAAAGAGGCAUGAAUGCUCACAGAAAUCCUGAAUGUCUACAUGUUCAUUGAUGUUCUUUGUUACUGUCAAAGAAAAUCUUUGCUGUGAGCACAUUUGCAGGGAGUAGAAAUCAGUGUUAACUGACAAAUCUUCAGUAAAUGGCUGUUGUCAAAGAUUUCAGCAUUUAUAAAUGUGCAUAUAAAUGUUCAGUAAAUGGCUGAAGUCAAAGAUUUUAUACUCCAUUUGGUGAGCACAUUUGUUAACAUUAAAUUAGUGUUAGCUGAAUUACUGUCAAAGAAAUUAUUUACUGUUGUCAUAUUAGUGUUAGCAGUAUUGUCAUAUUGACAGGAUCACUGAAUUUGACAGUUCUCAAUUUGACAGUACAAAUUAUCAAGCUCACUGGAGUAUAUGCUCUAUGUAAACUCUAUUUAGAGAUUCAGUGAUGGGUUGAUUUACAAAUACUGAAGAUAACAUAGAGAUUUGGAGUUUAAAUAGAAUAAGCUUGACAACAACUACUGCAUAUUUAGGGUCAAAAGUAUGAAUAACUUGGAGUUUGGCAGAUAAUAACAUAAGUUUUAAUUUGAUUGUCUUCAACCGAUCCAUUUAACAGAAGUUUAACUUUUCUCAACCUUUUCCUUUUAAAUGUUCGCUUUCAUUUUUAGUGGACUGACCAGAUGCAUGGUACAAUUGAACUGAAAGGAGAAGGGCAUUUUCAUCAAAGGGACAUUUAUUGGUCUGUACAUUUUACUUCUUACUUUCUACUCACUCUAACAAAGCUAAGCUACUGAUGAAAAUUUUGAGGCCUUCUAACUUGGAACAUCAGGACAUGUUAAAUCUCAAUUUGUCACUUGCAUGUUGCAUUAAGUUACAUGUCAGAGUUCUCUUGUGUAUUGUAGUGAGCUGGAUACAACUCAUGUUUGAUUAGUUGAGCUCUCCUCCUCGGCGAUUGGCUGAAGGAGGACCAGGACGUCGAGCUAAGACGGGCCGCAUCUGACUCGCCCUGUUGCAGUGGGGUGCCUUGCCUCCUUUGACACUCAACAUGAGACAAGGUUAUCUGGUGUUGGUUCUUAGGUUCGGAGGUUUAUAAAUGAUCGGGGUGGUGUCUUUGGAUGAUUGUGCCUCGGUGCUAUUUCCUGCUGGGUGUAUGAAUGAAACGUGAUUGAUCUUUGCCCAUUAACCUGUUUGAUAAUUUAAUUCAAGUUAGCACAAGCAUAAGUUGUUAAUAGUAUGUUUUAUGUUUUUUUUACAAGAAGCAUUGUAUGCUGCAACUAUUUUGGAUGGAAUAGUUACUAUAAGAGUGGGCUAUAUGUCACCAACCUUCUAAUUGUAUAUUGUAUUAUCUGAAGUUUGGUGUUGUUUCAUAAGCAUUUCUUUCAAUGUCAGAUUACUAUGAUUCUGACGCAACAAGGUUUUGAUUCAUGCUUAUGAUCACAUUAUGAAGUUGUACUCUGCUUCAACUCAUGUUUCUACCCUAAUUUGUCUAACUGGUUCUUUUUAUUUUUGUGGACGAGGCAUGUCAAGGCGGCGUGGCGGCACUAUGGACGACAUCAGCAUGACCAGAUCAGUGGUGAAAAUCCCAGGUGAAAAUACUCUCUUUAUUAGGUCUCAUUUUGUUGAAUGAAUAGUUACUUUAUAUGAUGUUGGUUAGGGUUUGUAUGGAGAUAGCAGCUGUUAUGUUUGACCAUCACUUAUAUAUAUAUAUGCAUUGCCUGCUAUUUGCAAAGUUUGUUGGCUUUGGUCUGCAACUACAACUUGCACAAUAAGUGCAAUCGGAUAAAUGACACAACUUGCACAAUAGUUACUUGAUAUGAGCUUAUGGAGAAGCUUGAGGAAACACGAAGGUCAAUAGGAUGCAUUUUACUAGAGCUUGAUCAUGCAGAUUUUCUUGGAUUUUGCCUACUGAUAAAGCUAAGGUUUCUAUGGUUGAAAGGGAUUAUACUAAUUUACAGGACCCAAAGUGAUAGAAGAUUCUGCGGCUGUGGAAACCACCAGGUAGUUCGUGAGUGAUGAUCAAUCAAUUCGAAGAACCACUUGCUUCGGCACUGUUAUUGCCCAACUAUGUAUUAUACCACUAGCUACCUAGCCGUUUCAGUGAAUUUCUAUUCGACCAUUCACCUUUUGUAGGAAUGUCUUGCUCUGAAUAUUAUGUUGCAUCAAAAUUGUUGGAUGCUCUCUCAGACCUUGACUGCUUUGUAUAAAUAUACAGUAUAUAAAGCAUUCUGCGUUAGCCCUGUUUGUGGUUUGCUAA